rnacentral:rRNA from 1 species
UACAGGGGGGGCAAGCGUUGUCCGGAUUUAUUGGGUUUAAAGGGUGCGUAGGCGGCCCUGUAAGUCAGUGCUGAAAUAUCCCGGCUUAACCGGGAGGGUGGCAUUGAUACUGCGGGGCUAGAGUACAGAUGAGGUAGGCGGAAUUGACGGUGUAGCGGUGAAAUGCUUAGAUAUCGUCAAGAACACCUAUAGCGAAGGCAGCUUACUAGGCUGUAACUGACGCUGAGGCACGAAAGUGUGGGGAUCAAACAGG